AUGAAGAUCGUGCCCCAUAUUCUGAAGGAUGAGCCAUCCAUGAAGAGUAGCUCGUGGUCCCUUUUUCCCAUGUACCCCAUUCAAAUCCAAUAUUAUGUUACCAAGAGGAAUCUGUUAAGCCUGAGGCUCACAGCUGUCAUCCUCACCACCCUGAGCUGGCUCAUCAUGCUUGUGAUCUGCAUCCACCCCAGGUGGAUCACCCUAGAAAAUUCCCGCAAGGAAUUAUGGCAAAACAUAACCUUGAACUUUGCUCUCUGGGACAACUGCGUCCAGUGCUUGAACCCCAACGACCUGUCAGUUUACCUCUUCCUCUCUCGAGGGAUCAUUUUUCUGAACCUGGUCUUCACCUCCCUCCUCAUUCUCUCCAUGAUAUGCUCCUUUCGAAGAAUAUUCAGUCGUGUUUCCAGGCUGGACUUUGUCUUCUCCAUUGCCAACUACGUCUCAGGCACCAUCUGUCUCAAGAGUCACAAAUAUACCUGGAAUAUAUCAUACCUCUCUCCUAAGGAUCUGUUUGCCAAAUCAGAGAAACAGAAGCGAUGUGGAAGCUCAUGGCAGCAAUCAACCGCAUCAGUCAUCCCUCAAGAGAGAACCACCUCAUCUGCAGUCAUCAACCAAGACAUAUCCAUCACCUCCAUACUCAACUCCUAG
rnacentral:lncRNA from 1 species